rnacentral:rRNA from 1 species
UACGUAGGGUGCAAGCGUUAAUCGGAAUUACUGGGCGUAAAGCGUGCGCAGGCGGUUGUGUAAGACAGAUGUGAAAUCCCCGGGCUCAACCUGGGAACUGCAUUUGUGACUGCACAGCUGGAGUGCGGCAGAGGGGGAUGGAAUUCCGCGUGUAGCAGUGAAAUGCGUAGAUAUGCGGAGGAACACCGAUGGCGAAGGCAAUCCCCUGGGCCUGCACUGACGCUCAUGCACGAAAGCGGUGGGGAGCAAACAGG